rnacentral:rRNA from 1 species
UACGAAGGGGGCGAGCGUUGUUCGGAAUUACUGGGCGUAAAGGGCGCGUAGGCGGCCUGCUAAGUCAUACGUGAAAUCCCUCGGCUCAACCGAGGAACUGCGUCUGAUACUGGUUGGCUUGAAUUCGGGAGAGGGAUGCAGAAUUCCAGGUGUAGCGGUGAAAUGCGUAGAUAUCUGGAGGAAUACCGGUGGCGAAGGCGGCAUCCUGGACCGACAUUGACGCUGAGGAGCGAAAGCUAGGGGAGCAAACGGG